rnacentral:rRNA from 1 species
GACAGAGGGUGCAAACGUUGCUCGGAAUUACUGGGCGUAAAGCGCGUGUAGGCGGGCAUGCAAGUCGAGUGUGAAAUCCCUGGGCUCAACCCAGGAACUGCAUUCGAAACUGCAUGUCUAGAGUGUCGGAGAGGGAAGCGGAAUUCCUGGUGUAGAGGUGAAAUUCGUAGAUAUCAGGAGGAACACCGGUGGCGAAGGCGGCUUCCUGGACGAUUACUGACGCUGAGACGCGAAGCGUGGGAGCAAACAGG